rnacentral:rRNA from 1 species
CAGUUCGGAUCGCAGGCUGNAACCCGCCUGCGUGAAGUUGGAAUUGCUAGUAAUCGCGGAUCAGCAUGCCGCGGUGAAUACGUUCCCGGGCCUUGUACACACCGCCCGUCACACCAUGGGAGCCGGUAAUACCCGAAGUCAGUAGCCUAACCGCAAGGGGGGCGCUGCCGAAGGUAGGAUUGGCGACUGGGGUGAAGUCGUAACAAGGUACC